rnacentral:rRNA from 1 species
GAAUAUUUGACAAUGGGUGAAAGCCUGAUCCAGCCAUCCCGCGUGAAGGAUGACGGUCCUAUGGAUUGUAAACUUCUUUUGUACAGGGAUAAACCUACCCUCGUGAGGGUAGCUGAAGGUACUGUACGAAUAAGCACCGGCUAACUCCGUGCCAGCAGCCGCGGUAAUACGGAGGGUGCAAGCGUUAUCCGGAUUUAUUGGGUUUAAAGGGUCCGUAGGCGGACCUGUAAGUCAGUGGUGAAAUCUCAUAGCUUAACUAUGAAACUGCCAUUGAUACUGCAGGUCUUGAGUAAAUUUGAAGUGGCUGGAAUAAGUAGUGUAGCGGUGAAAUGCAUAGAUAUUACUUAGAACACCAAUUGCGAAGGCAGGUCACUGGGCCGAAACUGACGCUGAGGCACGAAAGCGUGGGGAGCGAAC